rnacentral:misc_RNA from 1 species
AGUGAACUCGAACCGGGUAAAUUAUUCCUCUUUCACUGACAUUUGAUCUCUCCCAUUUUUUCAACCUCAUUUCCCGUCAAUUCACUCACAAAGCCAUGCCGGAAUCCGACGAACAACCACCGCCAUCGACGCCGUCAACGGCGUCCACCUCACCUGUUUACAUACAUCCGCGAAGAGAACCUUUCGAACACGGACUUCUCCCUAUCCCUAAACUUAUCUUCACCGACGGAGCCCAAACUCUUACUCAAAUUCGUGAUAAACUCUUGUCCUUAUCAUCUGGAUCGACACAUCGAGUUAAUUUUGAAGCAAUUGCUGAAGCACUUCAGAUCUCCCAUGACCAUGCUCGUCUCGUCAUUGAGACAAUCGCAUCGGUUCUUCAUUCCGAUUCUGAUCCCAGCGUCACUGCUAAGCCGUCAGAGAUCGGUUCCGUUGGUGUAAACGUGUUUGAUUUGAUGAUGUUUUUGUACAUUCAGAGUUAUAAAAGGUUGCUACCUAAAGGACAUAAGGAUUCUGCUGCAGUUGCUGAUGUUUGGCCUUCUACUUCUGCAUUCGAUGGUUUCUUGUCGGCUCUUUCACCGUUGCAGCUUGUGCGCAGCAAUAGUCGUCGGUCCAUGCCAUCACAGGCUGAUGAAGA